CUCCAGACUCCUACGGGAGGCAGCAGUGGGGGAUGUUGCACAAUGGGGGAAACCCUGAUGCAGCGACGCCGCGUGGGCGAAGAAGUAUUUCGGUAUGUAAAGCCCUAUCAGCAGGGAAGAAGAAAUGACGGUACCUGAGUAAGAAGCACCGGCUAAAUACGUGCCAGCAGCCGCGGUAAUACGUAUGGUGCAAGCGUUAUCCGGAUUACUGGGUGUAAAGGGAGCGCAGGCGGCGCGUUAAGCCUGGUGUGAAAGCCCGCGGCCCAACCGCGGGACUGCAUUGGGAACUGGCGCGCUGGAGUGCCGGAGGGGUAGGCGGAAUUCCUAGUGUAGCGGUGAAAUGCGUAGAUAUUAGGAGGAACACCAGUGGCGAAGGCGGCCUGCUGGGCUUUUACUGACGCUGAGGCUCGAAAGUGUGGGGAGCAAACAGGAUUAGAUACCCCUGUA
rnacentral:rRNA from 1 species